GUUUCUGUAGUGUAGUGGUUAUCACGUUUGCUUCACACGCAAAAGGUCUCUGGUUCAAAACCAGACAGAAACA
rfam:Poecilia formosa, whole genome shotgun sequence.